rnacentral:rRNA from 1 species
UACGUAGGGGGCUAGCGUUGUCCGGAAUCAUUGGGCGUAAAGAGCGUGUAGGCGGUCCGGUAAGUCCGCUGUGAAAGUCGGGGGCUCAACCCUCGAAUGCCGGUGGAUACUGUCGGGCUAGAGUACGGAAGAGGCGAGUGGAAUUCCUGGUGUAGCGGUGAAAUGCGCAGAUAUCAGGAGGAACACCAAUAGCGAAGGCAGCUCGCUGGGACGUUACUGACACUGAGGCGCGAAAGCGUGGGGAGCGAACAGG